rnacentral:rRNA from 1 species
AUGGACCCUGAAAUGGACACUGUAACAGCGCCCUCAAGGAAAAGGCGGCACAACGUAGUACCUGGUGAGUGCAACACAUCACAGGAUCUGAAUCAGGGUGCUAGUGGCCAUGAGCUCACUGCGUUUCGGCUUGUUCCCCACUUCAAGUGGGGUGGUGAGGCUCCUUUGGGGUCCAAGUCGGCAAUGGAUCGACCGGUCGACUGUGCGCGAGGCGCGAGAGCGUGUCAUGGCGCCUCGGUGGAUCCAUUGACCUGGUGA